AAUCAACGCUGGCGGCGUGCCUCAGACAUGCAAGUCGAACGAUUAAAGCUCUCUUCGGAGAGUGCAUAAAGUGGCGCACGGGUGAGUAACACGUAAGUAAUCUACCCUCGAGUGGGGAAUAACGUCCGGAAACGGACGCUAAUACCGCAUAAUGCAGCGGCACCGCAAGGUGACAGUUGUUAAAGAUUUAUCGCUUGAGGAGGAGCUUGCGGCAGAUUAGCAGUUGGUAAGGUAAUGGCUUACCAAGGCUACGAUCUGUAACCGGUCUAAGAGGACGGUCGGUCACACUGACACUGAAUAACGGGUCAGACUCCUACGGGAGGCAGCAGUCGGGAAUUUUGGGCAAUGGGGGAAACCCUGACCCAGCAACGCCGCGUGAAGGAUGAAGUAUUUCGGUAUGUAAACUU
rnacentral:rRNA from 1 species